rnacentral:rRNA from 1 species
UACGGGGGGGGCAAGCGUUGUUCGGAAUUACUGGGCGUAAAGGGCUUGUAGGUGGCCAACUAAGUCAGACGUGAAAUCCCCCGGCUUAACCGGGGAACUGCGUCUGAUACUGGAUGGCUAGAGAUUGGGAGAGGGACGCGGAAUUCCAGGUGUAGCGGUGAAAUGCGCAGAUAUCAGGAAGAACACCCGUGGCUAAGGCGGCUCUCUAGUACGGUACUGACGCUGAGACGCGAAAGCGUGGGGAGCGAACAGG